AUGGAAGAGAAAGUCUCUCAACCUACCAAAGAUGGACAACAACCUAUCUCUGUGACUAAGGUUGUAUCUGACGUGCUCACUCAGCACACCAAGAAGCCUAAGUUUCUGUAGAAUGUGGGGAUCCAGCAUGUGCAUGAGAGAACCAGUGGUACCAACCUUGAAGCACAACUGGCAACGGAGAAGAAAGGUAAUGCAGAGCUUCGUAAGAUUGUCAACACCUUCACUAAGAAGGUAGAGGAAUCAGAAGAAGCAAGGAUCAGACAAGAAGAGGAGUACAUGAAGAAGCAAGCCUUGAUGGACUCUAAACUUGACCUUUUGCUAAGCCAGAGGUGA
rnacentral:rRNA from 1 species